ensembl:processed_transcript Gm13986 predicted gene 13986
CUGUUUCUUAACGUGAUUCCCGAUCGGAGAAUUUGCGGAACCAUCUGGCUCCAGGGUCUUACACUAUUUACAGAACGGACCCGUAGAGUAAUAAAUUACUCUCUACCUAUUAUUUUAUUUCCCAUCUUUCUCCCUAAAUGGUUCUUUUUUGUUUUCAUUUUUCGGCUCCCAAAACCGAGGUGUGGUUUACAUUUCAGUGGGUAUACACUUUUCCAUUAGUAGACUACUGCCUGAUGCUGUCUCUGAAGUCUGGUCUCAAUGCCACAGGUCCGAGCCAAGAUGACUCCAGCUGCCUGGAAUUCCAUUCAUCUCUUUGGGAAGGGAAGUCAGUGGCGGUGAUGCUUCUCCAGCUGUGGCCCUGCGUGAGCAGGCUUGGCUCUGAGUCCAGGGAUGCAGAAAGGCAGAAAAUGGAGACAGAGGCCAACUGAGGGUGCUCAUUUCACAGUAGACAACUGCCGCAGCUCCUGAAGGCCACACCCAUCGAGAUGUCAUCCUUUAUGAUUUCAGCUCUCUGGCAUGUUGACCACAGGAGGCCAUCAGAAUGGAAGGACUGAUCUGUUCAGCAUGGCCACUGGAAAACAACAGGAAAAAAAAAUCCCGCAAUGUUGCAUAAAAGCCGUGGUGCACACAGGCCUGAAGAGUGGUUUGCAAGCUGCCGGGCCUCCUCAGGUGCUGGCAAGGUGAGUGUUCGUCUGUGUCUCAGUCUAGGCCUCUUGUCUCUUAUUUUCUUCCCUGAAGGGAAGAUGUGAAGCAGGAGAGAGCACAUUUAUUUAUUUCUUCUGACAUUCCCUCAUCUGCAGAACAUUAGCUGAUGGUUUGUUGUCUUCCUACCUGGCUACUGGGCCAGGAGAAAGGAAGUUGGAGGUAUAGGCAGAAAUGAUUCCUUGAUUUAAAAAGAACAACACAGCCAAAUGAAACCUGCAGGCCAACCCUCAGGCUGGUGCCUGUUGGAUGAGGCUUUGCACGAAAGGACCCACAUUGCUUGGCCUGUGAUGUGACCUUCCUGCUGAGGCCCACAGACAUGAAAUUGGAAAAAAAACCCCAGUCAUUCCAAGUAGUACACUUCCUUUGAUAUUUAGUUACUCCACCACCUGAGAGAGCCUUGGAGCCUCUGCUUACACUGCAGCUGAGCUGAGUAAGCAAAAAAUGCAGUAGCUUAGCUCUACCCUUCAGCCUCAACUGGCAUAAAUGGGCCAGCUGUCUGAUUUGUGAGGGUGUACGUGGAUGUUAAACACUGCUGUCUGCUUCUGAGAUGGAUGCUCACUAAGAAUAGGAACAUGCCCCCGUGAACAUAAGCUCUCAGGGUAUAUUCCUCCUCUCUGUAGAUGUGUCUGUCUGUCUGGGAUGACCAAUGUCAGCUCCUGGUCUGACUCAGGUAUGGGAUGGCCUCUAUUCCACUUGUUGUACUGGGAGAGUGACAUGUAUUGAGUCUUAAUUGAUGUAGUGAUGAGACUCUGUCAAUUGGUGGUUUAGACAGAAGACAAUGUCCUGUUCUGUCAUUGCUGUCCUUCUUCAUGUUGAAUAAUGGAUACAGGAAGGUUUCAGAUUUUUAGGAUGCCAGACACCCCAUGGGUUACUGUAUCCAUCCCUCCUCAUCUGUGGGGCAUUAACUGCCCAUGCAGAGAAGUUCUAACCCCUGAAAGGAAGUUUGGUUUUCUCAUUCUGGUUACCCCCCCCCCCCCAGCUCUUACCAAGGCUGUGGUUAGGAUGUGCAAAGAUGGAUGUAUAGAUGCCUAGCUGUGGCGGUGUGGGUAUAUACCAGGCUCCUCCCCCAGGAUUUUGCCUCCCUCUGAGUCUGUGAAAUCAUUUUCUCAUACUUUGGCCUUACCUUCCUGUCUCUUUCCCAAGCCUACCUUGGAGAAAUUUCAUUUCUGUUGUCCAUUGAAGUAAAUUCUGAUUCUGAUUGGGAGGGAAGUGUGGCAGUCGCCAUAUUUGGGUAGAUUUGUUUUCCUUUGAACUGAGAAGGAAGACAAGAGUGAUCAUUAACCUACGUUUCUGCUCAGCUUAUGAAAGGACAUUUAGAAUUGCCAACUCAAAGACGCUUCAGGCCAGAAGUAAUGCUUCUGUCUGAUAAGCCAUGUGGCCCUGUAUGGAGGUGUCGAUACGGUUCAAGAAAUACUAAACUUACAGUCUGAUGCUCUGGGUUCUUGGAAUGUUUGUCCAUUAUUAGCUGUGUGACUAGCAAGUCACAAUCUCACUUGAGGCGCUGUUUCCUCUUCUGGCAAGUGUGGAUAAAAAUGCUUGUCUGGACUGCCUCCUGAGGUUAUUCUGAAAAUACAAUGGGAUAUAUAUACUAAUCUGCGUUACAUGGCAGAGAUGUGGGAUAUGAAGUUACACAUCAAAGUCAAAUGUCCUGUCUCCUUCUAAGUUCAACACAAUGAAUAAUUGUUUCUAGUCUGUGACAGGUCCUAUUGACUCUCUGAUAGAAUGGUAGAUGAAGAAUUUGGUUCUCAUUUAGAGGAUGUGCCAC